rnacentral:rRNA from 11 species
CCCGUGAGGGCUGCUGGAGAUAUCGGAAGUGCGAAUGUUGACAUGAGUAACGAUAAAGGGGGUGAGAGACCCCCUCGCCGAAAGACCAAGGGUUCCAGUCCAACGUUAAUCGGGGCUGGGUGAGUCGACCCCUAAGGCGAGGCCGAGAGGCGUAGUCGAUGGGAAAUUGGUUAAUAUUCCAAUACUUCUAUGUAAUGCGAUGAGAGGACGGAGAAGGUUAAGUCAGCCUGGCGUUGGUUGUCCAGGUGGAAGGUUGUAGGCAUGUAUCUUAGGCAAAUCCGGGGUACUGUAUGCUGAGAACUGAUAGCAAGCUGUACUUGUACAGUGAAGUGGCUGAUACCAUGCUUCCAGGAAAAGUCUCUAAGCUUCAGUUACAUAGGAAUCGUACCCGAAACCGACACAGGUGGUCAGGUCGAGUAGACCAAAGCGCUUGAGAGAACUCUGCUGAAGGAACUAGGCAAAAUGGUACCGUAACUUCGGGAGAAGGUACGCUGCCGACGGUGAUAGGAUUUACUCCUUGAGCUAUUGGCAGCCACAGAAACCAGGCCCCUGCAACUGUUUAUUAAAAACAUAGCACUCUGCAAACACGAAAGUGGACGUAUAGGGU